GACGAACGCUGGCGGCGUGCUUAACACAUGCAAGUCGAACGGAAAGGCCCUGCUUGCAGGGUACUCGAGUGGCGAACGGGUGAGUAACACGUGGGUGAUCUGCCCUGCACUUCGGGAUAAGCCUGGGAAACUGGGUCUAGUACCUGAUAGGAGCCAUUUUGAGUGUGAUGGUUGGAAAGUUUUUUCGGUGUAGGAUGAGCUCGCGGCCUAUCAGCUUGUUGGUGGGGUAAUGGCCUACCAAGGCGGCGACGGGUAGCCGGCCUGAGAGGGUGGACGGCCACAUUGGGACUGAGAGACGGCCCAGACACCUACGGGAGGCAGCAGUGGGGAAUAUUGCACAAUGGGCGCAAGCCUGAUGCAGAGACGCCGCGUGGGGGAUGACGGCCUUCGGGUUGGAAACUCAUUUCGCUAGGGACGAAGCUUUUUGUGACGGUACCUAGAUAAGAAGCACCGGCUAACUACGUG
rnacentral:rRNA from 1 species